GACACUGUGUCCGAGUGGUUAAGGAGUUUGCCUCGAAAGCAAAUAGGCUUUGCCUGCAGAGGUUCGAAUCCUCUCAGUGUCG